UCUCAUGAUGUGGAGAUGUUAAAGCCU
rnacentral:piRNA from 1 species